UAAACCCUCCAAAAUAGAUGAUACAUAAACUAAUCACAAAUGCUUUGACAUAUAUUAUGAAAUGGUUUGCGUGAGUGAUGAUUUUUUCUCAUUUUUCUCGCUUGGAGGGACCAUUAAGAAACAUGAUCCCCACUGCUACUGGGUGAAGACGUAGAAGACUUAUCCUAUGUACUUCAAUAACUGUUAUGUGCUCAAUGAAGCUGUUCUGUUCACGCCACGGGGUAAUGAAAUGAAAAACAUGUGAAUGGCUAGGUCAUGUGUGGUUAUUCCCAAGCUCCUUAAUUGUACGUACAUAAAAAUAACUGCUCUCUAUCUCAAUGACCUUACCCUACCCGUGAAGCUGGAUUAAACACACAUUUCUACCUUUAGUUGUACAGUCGUGGGAGUCUGGUAGGAUACAACAGGACCGAUGGACAUCACUGCCGAAGGUCUGUACUCCAUAUCACAUAGGAGAUUCAUAUCACAUUGGAGAUGAACGAAUUAUAUAAAGAAAUAAAAACAAGACUGGGUUUGCAUACCGUUGUGGAGUCAUGAAACAUCCAGGGAUCGUGAGUUGGAAGGUUUUGUUUAGUGGGCGCAACAUCUGUGGUCAUAUGCCGGAGAGAGACAGAAGGGGAAGGAAUUAUAGGAGAAGGGAACAGACCCCAGGAGACGGGACACAACCCAACAUCUGUGGUCAUAUGCCGGAGAGAGACAGAAGGGGAAGGAAUUAUAGGAGAAGGGAACAGACCCCAGGAGACGGGACACAACCCAACAUCUGUGGUCAUAUGCCGGAGAGAGACAGAAGGGGAAGGAAUUAUAG